rnacentral:lncRNA from 1 species
AUCUUCCUGACCCAGGGAUUAAAACUGGAUCUCCUGCAUUGCAAGCAGAUUCUUUACCAUCUGAGCUACCAGGGAAGCCAAAUUAAUUGGGCAGAAGAUGACUCAGCGAAACUGAAGGCAACCCAAGCUCUUCUGAGUGAGUCAGAACUCACUGAUUAGAGUGAGUCAGUCCUGAUGAUCAGAACUCCUGGAAUCUGUGUUUGGUUCAGGAACUGUCUCUGGAGGACUAUCAGCCCUGGUUCGUGGAUACUGUGAAAAGUUGAAUUUCACUCCUUGGGAAGACCAGCUGUUUUCCACUUCUGUUGUACUUCUUGGGCCCUGAUACAAAACUAUGAGACAUAACUUGGACUCUGAUUUACCUAGCAGCCCUUUGUAGCUGCUGAAAUAUUUUCUUAGCAUAUCUCUUGCAAUUUCAUCUCUUCUGGAGUUAGUUGAUACCCUAGUUGAAAAGAAACUUCAAAUGCUUAUGUCCUUGAACUCAGUUUUACUUAGUCUUUAAGAUCAUGUCUCUAUAAUUUUAAGCUGUAGUUAUAGCUGUAUGAAACUCACUUGUGAACUUUUUUCUUAAAACUUUUAUAGCUGUUCUAGAUUUCACAGAAUUGAUUUGCUUACUGCAGC